GUAUUGCGUAACUUCAAAAGCUAGGUCAUAAAAGGUGGUACAUCUUACCUUUGGAGUCCAGAUUAACCCAUGUGCAGAGGCCCAGGAACUACAUGAAGACAGUAAGCUGCCCAGUGGCUGACUGGCUGAAUUUGUGAAUGAAUGAAUGAGCUACCAAGCAUAUAAAGCACAACUUAUUAUUUCCAAUCUGAUUCAGAAUGAAGUGAAGAACAGAAAGAAUCCACUGUGAAGAGAAAGGGUUGAGUUUAUUUCACUACUUAUUAAAUAGUACUACGUGUUUUUUUUUUAAAAAAAUAGAGACCACAUGAUAUUUACAGUCAACUUGUACACAUGUCCCCACCUCCAAAUUAUCCUACCACCUCAUGUAAC
rnacentral:lncRNA from 10 species